GGGCCAUGGCGGCGUGCUACACAUGCAGUCGAACGAUGAUGCUGGUGCUUGCACUGGUGGAUUAGUGGCGAACGGGUGAGUAACACGUGAGUAACCUGCCCCUGACUUCGGGAUAAGCCCGGGAAACUGGGUCUAAUACCGGAUAUGACUUCCUGCUGCAUGGCAGGGGGUGGAAAGAUUUAUCGGUUGGGGAUGGACUCGCGGCCUAUCAGCUUGUUGGUGAGGUAAUGGCUCACCAAGGCGACGACGGGUAGCCGGCCUGAGAGGGUGACCGGCCACACUGGGACUGAGACACGGCCCAGACUCCUACGGGAGGCAGCAGUGGGGAAUAUUGCACAAUGGGCGAAAGCCUGAUGCAGCGACGCCGCGUGAGGGAUGACGGCCUUCGGGUUGUAAACCUCUUUCAGUAGGGAAGAAGCCCCUUUUUGGGGUGACGGUACUUGCAGAAGAAGCGCCGGCUAACUACGUGCCAGCAGCCGCGGUAAUACGUAGGGCGCAAGCGUUAUCCGGAAUUAUUGGGCGUAAAGAGCUCGUAGGCGGUUUGUCGCGUCUGCCGUGAAAGUCCGAGGCUCAACCUCGGAUCUGCGGUGGGUACGGGCAGACUAGAGUGAUGUAGGGGAGACUGGAAUUCCUGGUGUAGCGGUGAAAUGCGCAGAUAUCAGGAGGAACACCGAUGGCGAAGGCAGGUCUCUGGGCAUUUACUGACGCUGAGGAGCGAAAGCAUGGGGAGCGAACAGGAUUAGAUACCCUGGUAGUCCAUGCCGUAAACGUUGGGCACUAGGUGUGGGGGACAUUCCACGUUUUCCGCGCCGUAGCUAACGCAUUAAGUGCCCCGCCUGGGGAGUACGGCCGCAAGGCUAAAACUCAAAGGAAUUGACGGGGGCCCGCACAAGCGGCGGAGCAUGCGGAUUAAUUCGAUGCAACGCGAAGAACCUUACCAAGGCUUGACAUGUUCCAGACCGGGCCAGAGAUGGUCUUUCCCCUUUUGGGGCUGGUUCACAGGUGGUGCAUGGUUGUCGUCAGCUCGUGUCGUGAGAUGUUGGGUUAAGUCCCGCAACGAGCGCAACCCUCGUUCCAUGUUGCCAGCGGGUUAUGCCGGGGACUCAUGGGAGACUGCCGGGUCAACUCGGAAGAAAGGUGGGGAUGACGUCAAUCAUCAUGCCCCUUAAGUCUUGGGCUUCAGCAGGCUACAUGGCCGGGAAAAUGGGUUGGAAACUGGGAAGGGAAACUAACCCCAAAAACCGGCUCCAUUUCGAAUUGGGGUUGCAACCCCCCCCCCAAAAAUCGAAAUCCCUUAAACCAAAAAAAAAACCCUCCGGGGAAAAAUUUCCGGGCUUUUUACCCCCCCCCCAUAUUCCCAAAAGUUUGAACCCCCCAACCAAAGCCCCACCUCCUCUUUGGGGGGGGCCGCAAGGGGGGGGGGGGGGUUUUUUAAUAAGACGAACAAAGGGAGUGGG
rnacentral:rRNA from 1 species